UCCGUAAUGUCAUAGUAAUGAAGCAUAGUGUGCAUCAAACCCACUUGAAUGGACUUGCUUCCCUUCACUUGAUAUUUCUGCAUAGGCAUACACAAAGAUGCCACAGUCCCUGAUUUAAAAAAAAUGAUGAAGUCACAGUCCAUUCAAUAAUUAUAGCAUCGUUAUACAUGUAAAAAAAUUAAAUUUACUUAAACGGUUCAAUCGGUAUUUCAUGCCCUGAAAAAAUAAAAUCAGACCCUAAUUACACAACGGUUACACAUAUAUAAUGAUAACUUAUACAUUUAAAAAAAUAAAUCAGACCCUAAUUAAACAACAGCUAGACAUGUAUCAGGGUAACUUAUGCAUUUAAAAAAUAAACUGCAGUAACGUAUAAUGUCAUAAUACACAGUUUUAUCUUAAAUAUGUAUGACCUAUAUGCUUGUGAGAAUGUAUAAUGUCACCUUUCAAAAUAAGUAAUGUAUAAUGACUGAUAUAUUAUAACUUGUACAUUAUAAUGUAAUAUGCCAUAAUGUAUAAUAUCACACUAUUAAGUGUAAAACUUUGGCUAAAGUAAGAAUGUAUAAUGUCACCUUAUACAAUAUUAAAAAGUGCAAAACUUUGGCCAAAGUUAGAAUAUAUAAUGUCACCUUAUACAAUAUUCAAACAUUCACAACGUAUAAUUUCACUUAUUACAAUAACUGUCUCUUUUAUGUUCAUCUUUUUAUUAUAUAAUAUAAUGGAAUAUAAAGCAGAAGACUAAUAUUAUACAUUAUUUUGAAAAAUAAAGUUAUGUAUAAUCAAAUAAUAUAAAUGUAUAAUAUCAAAUAUGCAAGGAACAAAACCAACGAAAAUAUUUUGUUCUUGAGCAUCUAACUGACUAGGUUCUAAACUAAAGUCAGGAUGAGAAUCCAUUACCAAAUUAUUCUCUAUUGAUUAAGCAAUCGCAACUAUAAACAAGAAAUUCAAUGAUCUGACUUGUAUUAUAUGAAAAAAAAAAUGAGAAAAAUUGAUUAACAAACUAGAAUGGAAUUACAAAAUAAGGUAAUUUCAUAAAAAUCAACAUGCAACCAAACAAGAAUCCGAAUAAGAACUAACAACUUUAAAAUAAAAAAUGCAAAGAUCUGACUUUUAAUAAAAGAAAAAAAAUGAUAUUAUCGAACUAUCACACUGAAAUGGAUUUGCAAAAGUAAUUAAUUUCAUAAAAAACAAACAUGCAACCAAAAAUCGAAUCAGAUUGUGAUUUGGUAAAGUUAAAAAAAAAAACUAAAAAUUAUUGAAAAAAAUAAGUAUAUAAGUUCAAUAAAUGUUUGAUAAAUUACAAAUUGAUAACCUCUAAGUAUACGAUUGCUUGAAUUUGAGCGUGAAAAAAGGUAUUCAAUAAUGGAGGAACAAUUGAUUGUUUAAUGGAAGAUAAAAAUGGAACACAUAUGGAAAAGAGAGAGAAAGUAAGUGGGAAAGAGAGAGAAAGUAAAUGGGAAAGAGAGAAAAAGUAAAGAAUUAUUUAAUGGGAGAAAAAAAGGAAGUAAUAAAAAAAAGGGAAAGAGAGAUAAAUAAUGAUGAAGAUUCUUUUUUUUUUUUUAUGUAUAAGAGGAAUGAGAGAGAAAGUAAAAAAAAUAGGGAAUUUUAGUAAUAAGUUUGAGAUUUAUGUAAUUAGUUUGUUAAUAUGAAAUGUGUUGUAAUAAGAUAAAGUUAGUUUGUGUAUAUAUGUAAUUUUUAGAUAAUAAAUAGAGAAGAGUUAAAAUUGAGCCCCUUUGGCCCAUUAAAGGUGUGUCCAAUUCUUGGACAAAUUCCAUGGACUUUCAGCCCAAAUUUGGCCCUGUAUAUAACGGCUGUAUAUCAAUUUUUUUCCAGCGUUGUCCUAUAUAUCAUUGCGUAUACAGUGUAUAUCAGUGUUGAUACCUACGUAUUUUGGCUCCAUUUUUCCUCAUAAAUCGUGGGAUAGCGUGCAACCGCUGCCUCUAAUGAAUAUUCACUAUAUAUCAGAGUAUAUCAAUAUAGCUCGUUUGUGAAUUUGGUUGAGGCUUUGACUCGAUGGAGGUUGGGUUUAAAUCCACAGAAUGUGAUAGAUGAGAGUUCGAUGGACUCAAUGAGGUUGUUCAUGCAAUAAAAGAAGAUAAGGAUUAGAGUACAUUACAUUAGGGAAACAUGAAAGGGAAAUGACAACAGAAGGACAAAGACGACUAGAUCUUAGAUAGGUGCAGGCAUUCCCGCUUCAUUCUACUUCUCCUGUAUCUUGAUCUUCUAUGGGUGGAAUAGUGAAAAUUUCAAUUCGACCUUUCCCUUACAUUUGAGGGUGAGACUUGUCCCACGCUUUCUUUCUUAUAGCCUUCAGUCGGAUCUUCAAUUUUACGCUCAAAAUUCUUUUUCUCUUGCGUGAUCAACUAUUUGAAUUUAGCAAUCUCCUCGUCCGUCUGAUUGAUCUUCGUAACCACUCUCCUAAUUUCUUUUAGAUAGUAAGUCUAUAUUUCUGCCUAAAGGUUCUAGAAAAAGAUAGGAGUGGAUCCAUUUACCUUUAAUCAAAGCAACACAUAGCAUACAAAAUAAUUAUACCACGUAAUAGCAAAUGGUAGCAUGUAAAUAUUCGCGUCCUAAAUUGGGUGACCCUUUUACGCCAGGGGUGAGCCUAAACUUCAGAUAUUCGUGAUUAUGAUAGAUUAAUCCAAGCCAUUGACGAGGAUUCAUCUAAUAUGUCAAGUCGCACAAAAUAAGCUCUUUGAUCAUUGGGUCACAAAACUCGUCGACACAUAGGUUGAUAUCCUGAAUGCGGAGUCAAUACCAAGAAUCGACUCAACUAAGAUAUAUGCAUGCAUGACUUAAAUUGAAAGGGCGGCAUGGCUCUAUCUCAAGUUUUUCUAAGAUUUGGGUAGACACGGACUUAGAUUUCCUAUAUGAGAAGGCACGUGGUCCCGGCAAUAAAACCCUCGCUCACCCCAUGUAUGAGCCUACUCUCUAAAGUAAGGUGAUUUGAAAGAAUUUUGGAAAAGUAUAAUGUACAAUCCGAGUGUACAAUGUGUGUGAGUGUCAGUUUUUCAGAGUGGAAGAAAUAUGAAUGUAAUGACAGUUUAUGUGAAACUUAAACAAAUAUACAUAAAAGAAUUAGCCACAAAAAGUUAGAAAAUUCUUUUUGAUUAGAACCUAGAUAAAUCCCCAGCAGAGUCGUUAUUUUUGUUUUAUCCCUUCUCGGAUUUGUCAAAGGGAAGAUAAAUUAUUUGAAAAUAAAAUGGUUCUUGACUUCUUAAAUAAUUUCAAAGCUUUAAAAAAAAUGAAGAAAUAACUUUAGAAAAAUUACAGAGUUGCCACUUAAUUCUUAUAAAAAAAAUCAAGAAAACUUUAAAGAAUUUAAAAUUUCAAAGGUUCAAAAACAGAAAUAAACCUUUAAAAUUAGAGAAAAUGGGUAAGGAUUCAAUUAACAUCUUAAGAAGGGUUUUAAGGCACUUAGAAACGUCCAUUUUAAACCGGUUGACCAAAAUAUUUUGACUAACAUAAAGAGGUGGCUAAUUUUACAAAAAUAUCAUUUUUUUAUGAAAAUGUCAAACUUGAAUCGAGUGAUUUUUGAAAAUGAUUUUAUUUCGUUCAAUCUAAAAAAAAAUAGUAUGUUAGCUUAGGAGAAUUGACUUUGAAAAGAAAAUUUUAAACAAAAGCCUAUUUUUAGUAACAAUAAUUUACUUUUAUUCUAAAAGAAAGAAUUAUUUUUAAAGAAAAAUCUAUUUUUGAUGGCCGACGUUAAUUGAAACCUUAAUUUUAACAAUAGAUAGAUUUUAAGAAGAAAUAACAAACAUUUAAUCGAUUACGGAAGAGUUUAAACUUUUCGAUUUAAGAAAACCCAUCUCUUUUAUCGCUUGAGAAAACUCUCUUUAACCUAAAUGGGAUUAAUUAAUACAUGAAAAAAAAGUCAUCUUAAUGUGAAAGACUUGUUUUCAAAAAGAUCAACAUAAAAUCCAAUUUUUAUUCUUUUAUUUAAACAAGAUAACAAUUAUUUAAAAAAAAAAAUCUAAAUAAGUAAAUAAAGGAAAAAUGAAGAUAAAAUAAAAAUGGCAAAACCUUGAGGAAUUUAUCUAGAUUAAUUAAUUAAAGUGUUCAAGCAAAUACAAAUAAUAAUAAAUAGAAAAGAGUUAAAAUUGGGCCCCUGGACCAUUAAAGGUCUGUCCAGUUCUUGGACAAAUACCAUCUGUUGUAUAUCAACCUUUUUUCUUGCGUUUUCAUGCAUACCACUACACAUACAGUGGAUACCACGUGUUUUGGCUCCAUUUUUUUAAUCAUAAACCGUGGAAUAGCGUGCAGUUGCUGCCUCCGAUGUAUAUUCACUGUAUAUCAGAGUAUAUCAAUGUAUUCUAGCUCGUUUGUGAAUUCGGUGGAGGCUUUGACUCGAUGGAGGUCGUGUUUAAAUCCACAGAAUGCAAUAGAUGAGAGUUCGAUGGUCUCAAUGAGGUUGUUCAUGCAAUAAAAGAAGAUAAGGAUUAGAUACACGAAUUCGAUGAGGAAAGAAUACGAUUAAACACGAUAAACGACAUACAAACGAUUUGAAUAUUUCCACACAAAACAAACAUAUGCAAAUAUGUUUUCAUGGCUGUCUCUACUGUUUACGCCCAAGCAUUGAGUCUAAGAAUGGUGUAUAUGGCAAGUUAAAACCAAAGCAAAUACAAAACAAAGUACACAUAUUAAGAAUCGGAAAAAAAAAAAAAAAAAUAAUCACUGGAGUAUUCACUAUUAUAUUACCCUCAUUUUAGUUCUAAAUCAAGUACAUAAGAACACUAGACACGUAACCAUGAGAAACACUACCAAAAUGACAUAAAAAGAAAAAGCAAGUCUAACAUACCAUAAUCAUUCUAUUUUGGGAACACUGUGAGUGUAAACUUAACCCAUAACUAUACUUAGAAACCAAUUUAAACUAAGGGAAAACUCAAGUUAACACUAAACAACAAAUGACUAUAAAUGAUUUAACUAUAUAUUAUCAACAUCUAUUAAACAAUUAAGUGAAUCAUCCGCUAAACAUAACUUAGUCCAUAGACCAACUUGAAGGGGUAUUAUGGUAUUUAAAACUGAAACGGGACAUAGAAACCUAAUCAAAGGAUUUAUCUCUAUUCCCAAAGGAAUUCAUUAGAACUCAUCCAUCUCGAUAUUAUUUCUUAACAAUGAAAGGCAAAAAGUACCUUGAAACUAAUCACACGUAGGUUGUAGAGUAGACAAGAUUUUGAACAUUAGAAAGAUAACAGAGACUUGAGAGAUUUCUCAUUUUAGGAGCAUUUUUGAGUUGUAUUGAGCGGUGCUCAACGUCUCUCCUCCUGAAAUAAACCAAAGUUGUCCGUACCAAAGAAAUUUCUUUAUUCAACCUUGAGAAAACAAUUUUUGAAGGAAAAGACAAAAGAAUGAAGCAAACAGAAUUGCACAUGAAAUAGUUUGGCUAUUUACACUUCCCAGAGAGUUAGAAACAAGUAUUUUAAUCAUCUAAUUUGCAGGUUCAAAGGAAAAAGAGAUGGGAAGCCCUGUCGUGGACCAUAACAAUUGUUUUGGGAGCAUUUCGGGUGCAAGAUUUAUAUGAGCUCUACCCAUUCAAGAACCGAACCAAUUUAAUGGACUUAUUUUAAAAAAUAUGUAUGACAAAUAAAGAAAGGAUGGGAGAGUAAGGAUUGCGUUUCGCUUUCUAAUAUCAUAAUGCUUACCUGGGCAACUUCUUUUUCCCAUACUUAAGGAGAAUACAACCAAAAAUACACACAGAAGAUGGAGAAGGAAAAUUUGCAUGAAUGCCUAAAGAAAGGAGAGACGAAAGUGAUGGCACCGCAAAGUAUACAUCUCUUCACCCUAUAAUUCUCACAUGAACAUUCUUUAAUCCAUCGAAAUUAACUGACUAACAAAUAGUGAACAAGAGAGUAGGAAUUUAGUCAUAUUUACUCAAGCAAAGUUAAUCAAAUCGACCCGAAACAAUUCAAGCCAUAAUGAACUAUCCCAUAACGAUCUUAACUAAACGGACAGCAUGCCAAAAACGAAACAAAGCCCCAAAAAUGAGACAUAAACCAAACACACGAGUACUCGACCAAAUACGCAAUCCAACAACUCUACCAAUAACUUAAAUAAUAAAAAUUUGACGAAACAAAAUAGAUGAGUAAAGAGAUGUUACUGGCCUUUUCUAUGGUAGAGAACCAGGAAGACAAGUCCAAGAGCAAUUCCACCACUACCUUCGACUCCGAAUUCUAAUGACGAUGAGAAGUGAUGGAAGUAAAUUGGAAUAGAGAAAAAAGAUAAUAGAGAAUUUAGCGAAUCAAAGAAUUUAGCGAAUCAGAGAAUGUGAUAAAACUCAAGUAUUCCCGGAUUUCUAUACCACUUAACCCCGUCUUUGAAAAGGUGAACCAAACCUCUUUUUAUAGGCAAAAUUGGGCUGGCUGACUUCUCUUUGAAGCUUUUCAAAAUUCAAACUGAGUGACAGUUUAGAGCAUUAGGAAAAAGGAAAUCACCUUUUCAGAAAUGAUUUGAAAGAUUGAGAUUUUGGAUUUUGAUGAUUUGAGUUCUUCAAGGGGAACAACUGUUUGUUUGUUGAAUCAAAGAGGCAAUACUCCAAAGACCAUUGAAUGCCCAUAUACCUCCCUUUUCAGAAGCCUAUAGUGAGGAGAAAGAGUCCUUUGAGUAUGUGUUUUCAGAAAAAGCCAGGAAGAGAAAAAAAUUGAGGUGAUGUUGAUGGAGACGUUGACGGAAACAAGGGAAGAAGUGAAAAAAAAACACUGGAUUUCUUAAUGUUCGGUGGUCUGAACGUUGAUUGGCGUCGAUAUUGCUGGUUAUUGUCGGUAUUACUGGAAUUGGGUUUUGCCGUUUGUUGUUCGCAAUUGCUGUUGUACACGAUGUUGUGUGUUGUAAGCGUAUGCUUCUUGUUGUUGAAGAAGAGAAAUGGGUCGGGUCAUAGGAGGUUUGUUGGGCUGGCCUGUGAAUAAGAAAGGGAUGAACUUUGUUGGGUUUGGUGGAAAUUAGGACUUAAGG
rnacentral:lncRNA from 1 species